rnacentral:lncRNA from 1 species
ACAGGCCUCAGGUCAAGUAUCAUCUCAACAAAGUCCUUCCUGAUGAUAUAAUCUAAGUUCGCUGCCUUCUAAGACCACCCCAUUAUUUCCUGCAUUACUCCUAUCACUAUCAGAGAUCCCAGAAGACACUGUGAAAUCCAGUGAAAUACCGUGACAAUUUUUCAAAGAAAUGUAAGAGUCAACAACAAAGUAUGGUGGUGAAAACCAUGAGUUCUGGAACUGAUUUGCCUGGGUUCAAAACUCAGCUCCACCACUUUCUACCUGUGUUACCUUGGGCAAGUUCCUUAAAUCUUUUUAUGUCUCAGUUUCUUCAUUUGUAAAAUGAAAGCAAUAAUAGUAUUUAUCUCAUGUAUUUCUUGAAAUAUUGGGAUAAUGAAAUAAACUAAUAAUUGCAAAAGGCACAGACCAGCAUCUGGUAGAAAAUAAGCACAUAUAAAUGUUACUAAAGAAUAGGAGAUAGGUGGGUAUAAGUAGAUAGAAUGAUAGGCAGAGUGCAUUAAGUUGGCAAGUGUACUUCAGUCCACUUAAUUUGUGAUUUCUUUUUAAAAAAAAAACAAGUAUUUUUCUGAUUAUGAGAUAAAUGCUAUGAAAAUUCUGCACAAUGUACUUACAUCAAUAACAUCCUUUUGUCUAUCAAGCAAUUCCUAAACAGAGGAAGGAGACUGAGUUUGAGUUCCUCAUUAAAAAAUUAAAAAAUAAUGCCUCAAUUAAAAGAAUUCAAGGAUUUAUCAUAUAAUUCAUUAUGAAAUCAUGAAACUAUAAAAGAACCUGAGAAUGUAUAUAAACUAUAUACAUAUAUGCCUUACUCUCAGGAGGCCUACAAGCAAUUUCUUUUUUUUCUUGACAACAAAGUAAACACAAUUAUUUUUACGUUUUUUAACAUUUUCUUAAGUAUUUAAUAUAUUAGUUACAGUUUCUUGCAUGGUGUUUGUAAAAAAAAAAAUUUUGCUGUGUUUUUUCUGGCUUUCAAAAACAAAAUAAAGCAGAAACAGAAUAUUAACUCUGGCCACCUGGGAGCAUGGCAAUACUACAUGGAGAAGGAAACAAAAAGGAAAUCAAUGAAACCUAUUCCCAAUAUAGGAUCCCAGUUCAAACACCAAGAGACUUAAAGUAAGUAAUACCUGAAAAUUUGUCCAUGUCCUUGAAAGGCAAGCUAUACACAAGUUGUUGGUCAUUCUGUUGUAAUAAAGUAGCUCCAGGUAUAUGUUGUUUAACCAGUGAAGAAAGAGAUUCUGUGGCACAAUAUUUGUCUAUGUACAUGCUAGAGAAUACCAAAAAUCACAAUUAAUGAUUAUACAAUAAACAGCCAAAAGUAAAUUAUGAAGGCUUUAAAUUAAAUUUAGUACCAUAAAUGAUGGUCAAAGCAUAUAACAGCAAGCCUCCAACAUAAUAACAGUAUAGCAAGAGUAUAAUAUAGAAUAAUGUCAAUAAAAAUGAAUGAUACCUCAGGCGGUAGCCGAUCCCCCAUUUACUUUUGAGGAACAUUGAAGAACCAACACAUUUCAGCAUUCCUUGUGAUAUCACAGCUUUCCUAUCUGCAGAUAAAUAUUUACAUUUCAAUUUCUAAAGUAUCAACAGCAUUAAUAAUUGGCAUUUACAUUUUAUGGUUUCUCAUAUGAGAGUCAUCCACAUUAUGAUAUCAUUAAUCAUCACAAAAAGUCUUAUGAGGAUGGUACUAGAUUAUCAUCAACUAUUUUUCAGAUAUGAAUACUAAGGUAAAAAGAAAAUACAUUCCUUAUAUAUGUUUCAUACAGCUAUUAAGUAACAAAGCCAGGAACUCUACUCAAGGAGUCUGACUCUAGAGUCUACUUACCAUAUGUUAUUCCAAAUAUAUUUUUCCUAAAAGGCUUACCAAUACAAGCACUUUCACAAUUUCCUUUAUAACCAAAUGUAGAAACAACUCCAAAAAUCAACAAAAGUAAUAAGAAGAACAAAUGUUAGUUUGUUGGGUUUUUAAAAAUAAAGGUACUACUGAAGAC